ensembl:lncRNA
GUCUCCCCAGGCAGUGCCUUGGGUGCUCACAUGGAUGAGCAGCAGGGGAUGAUAGUGCAAGGGGCAGACAAGCCUUGGCAGUCUUCACUGAUGGGCCUUACCACCGCGACAAAAAUGCCCUUAUGAUCAUUAUCCCAGCCAAGUUGUCUUUACCUCCUCUCCCUCUUUCAUCCCUCCAGGCCCUCAUUGCUCCUGGCUGGGCUUUGUUUUUAGUUCCGGUCCUAGCAAAACCUGGACAUCUGCCUGUCUCCUCCCCAUGGACCCAAGACCCCACGGCCUCAGUGACAUCCCUGCACUCCUCUGCGCCUCCAAGGCCUCAGUGACACCCCUGCACUCCCAGCCACCUUCAUGGCCUCAGGGACCCCCAGGAAACCCUGCACACCCAAGGACACCUCGACACCUUCUCAUUGCCUCAGAGUCCCCCAACCCCUGCCCUCUCACUAGCAACAAGGCCCUCAGAGUGCCCCUCUGGGGCUAUUUCCCUGGGGCACAAAAGGGUUUCAGGACCCCCCCCAGCUGAAGUCAGGAAGGGUUAAGGGGAGAAAAAGCUGCCCCCCCUUCUUCUGGCAUGGGAGGGCCAACAGGGCUUCCUGAGUGGGUGGUGGUGAGCUUCCCCCAGCAGUGCCCUGACCCCCUUAUAGCUCUGAACUUCACCCAGCAGUGACCAGGGUGGCACACCCACGCCAUUUUUGAACCACCCACGUCACGUUCGAAUCACCCACGUCACGCCCAUGUCACGUUCGAAUCUCCCACGUCACACCCACGUCACAUUCGAAUCACCCACGUCACGCCCACGUCACGUUCGAAUCACCCACGUCACGUUCGAAUCACCCACGUCACACCCACGUCACACCCACAUCACGUUCGAAUCUCCCACGUCACACCCACGUCAUGUUCGAAUCUCCCACGUCACGUUCGAAUCUCCCACGUCACGCCCACCUCACCUCCGAACCACAUUUGGAACAACCAUGCUCCUCCCUUGCAACAGCCUCUCAGUGCUAGUGCCAAGGGGUGAGGAGAGCUGGUGUAGGCUUGGGGAGGGGAGGCAAGGGAGCCGGGCACUCGUGGUGGGGCUGCCCUAGGCAUGCGGAGGCAAGCUCUGCCUUCCCAGGGCUCUUGCCUCUGAGCGCUGCUUGGUGCGGGAGCCUUUGAAGCAGGGUGGCACACCCACGUCACUUUCAAACCACUCAUGUCACACCAACAUCAUGUUCCAAUUAUCCACGUCACACCCACGUCACGUUUGAAUUUCCAUUUCACACCCACGUCAGUGCUUUGCUAGGCGAGGAAGCAACAUGCAGUGCUUUACUAGCUGGCUAGGCGGCGGAAGCACGCAUUGAUUUGGUAGGCAGUGAAGGGACUCAAUGCUUUGCCAGGCGGAGAGGGGAAAAGGGACACAGCGGUGUGCUAGGCGGCAAGGCGCCGGCGAAACAAUGCAGCAAGGGGACACAACGCUUUGCCUGGCAGUGACAGGACGGGGAGCUUUGCUAGGCAGUGAAGGGAAAAGACGCUUUGCUAGGCGGCAAGGCGGCGAAGUGACGAAGCGAUUUGGGAGGCAGCGAAGGGACACUGUGCUUUGGUACGUGUCAUUCGGCGAAGGGACAGGGCACUUUGCUAGGCGUCGAGGCGGCGAAGGCACACAGUGCUUUGCCAGGCGGCAAAGGGACACGGCACUUUGCUAGGCGGCAAGGUGACACGAUGCUUUGCAUCUGGGCGAGGAGGUGAAGGCACGCAGUGCUUUGCUAGGUGGCAAGGCUGCAAAGGGACACAUCGCUUUUCUAGGCGGCGAAGAAACACGGUGCUUUGCUAGGCCAUGAAGGCACGCAGUGCUCUGCUACGCGACGAGGGAGAAAAGGUACGCAGGGGUGUGCUAGGCGGCGGGGCGCUGACAAGCCGAUGCGGGGGAGGGACGCGGAGCUUUGCUAGGUGGCGAGGCGGUGAAGGGAUGCUUUGGCUUACUAGGUGGUGAAGGAACAAGGUGCAUUGUUUGGUGGGGAAGCAGCAAACACAUGCAGUUCUUUGAUAGGUGACAAAGGUACGCAGUGCAUUGCUUGGUGGCGACAGGACGCGGAGAUUUGCUAAGUGGUGAAGGGAGAUGACGCUUUGCUAGGUGGCGAGGCAGUACAGGGAUGAAGCGAUUUGCUAUGCAGUGAUUCACUACCUCGCAGAAUAAAUAACCACUGUGGAUGUUCGCUGUCUCA